GAUGAACGCUGGCGGCGUGCCUAAUACAUGCAAGUCGAGCGAACGGACGAGAAGCUUGCUUCUCUGAUGUUAGCGGCGGACGGGUGAGUAACACGUGGAUAACCUACCUAUAAGACUGGGAUAACUUCGGGAAACCGGAGCUAAUACCGGAUAAUAUUUUGAACCGCAUGGUUCAAAAGUGAAAGACGGUCUUGCUGUCACUUAUAGAUGGAUCCGCGCUGCAUUAGCUAGUUGGUAAGGUAACGGCUUACCAAGGCAACGAUGCAUAGCCGACCUGAGAGGGUGAUCGGCCACAUUGGAACUGAGACACGGUCCAGACUCCUACGGGAGGCAGCAGUAGGGAAUCUUCCGCAAAGGGCGAAAGCCUGACGGAGCAACGCCGCGUGAGUGAUGAAGGUCUUCGGAUCGUAAAACUCUGUUAUUAGGGAAGAACAUAUGUGUAAGUAACUGUGCACAUCUUGACGGUACCUAAUCAGAAAGCCACGGCUAACUACGUG
rnacentral:rRNA from 1 species